AGGGAAAUUGAUUCAAGUGAGCAU
rnacentral:miRNA from 1 species